AGAUAGAUUGAAACUGCAGAGUUUUGAAAAACUAAAAAAUAAAGUGCGAGACUGGCUUCAUUAUUAUCAGAUAAUGGAGGCAUACAAUUUGGAUAAGAAAAUUGGCUUCCAGGUGGAAAAAUCAAAACUAGAAACAGAAAUGUUAGAACCCAAAACUAAGAAUUUGUCAAGAAUGUAUAACUUGUUGCUGAAAUGGAAUACUCAGGAUGAAACGGUGAAAUCUGCUAUGAUUAAAUGGGCACAAGAUGUUGGACAUAACAUCAUGUUUGCUGACUGGGAACAGUUAUGGACCACAGGUAUGAAGUUUACGGCAUGUAAUGCCCUAAGAGAGAAUAUUAUGAAAAUGAUAUACAGGUGGUACAUAACCCCAGUCAAGCUUGCAAAAAUCUACCAUCUGCCCGAUAAUAAAUGUUGGAAAUGUAAAGAAACUGAAGGUACAUUCUUUCACCUUUGGUGGACGUGCCCAAGGAUUAAGGUUUUCUGGGAGAUGAUUUAUAAUGAAUUAAAACAGGUAUUUAAAUAUACCUUCUUGAAGAAACCAGAGGCCUUUCUCCCGGGCAUAGUCGACCAAUCGGUGUUAAAGAAGGACAGAACUUUCUUUAUGUAUGCUACAACAGCAGCAAGAAUACUUAUUGCAAAGCACUGGAAGACACAAGAUCUACCCACACUGGAGGAAUGGCAGAUGAAAAUGAUGGACUACAUGGAACUGGUGGAAAUGACUGGCAGAAUCCGAGACCAGGGAGAAGAGUCGGUGGAAGAAGAUUGGAAGAAAUUUAAAGACUACUUACAGAAAUAUUGUAAAAUUAAUGAAUGUUAGAAUGAUGUCGGAUUGAAGUUAAGUGGUUUCUAGCUGUAAUGGUAUAAAAGAAUAUGGAAAAAUUGGUUUUUAAUACGUAAAAAUUUAAUGUUAUAAUAUAUCAAGAUUAAAGAUCAGGAUUAAAAAGGAGGGAAAGGAAUUGCUGGACUAACAAACUGAAUUGGAAUACAAAAGAGGGAGGUAUGAGGAGGUCCGGGAAACAAGUAAACGUAAAAGAAGUGAUGAAAAGACGGAAUUGUUUUUAAUUGUUUUUUUCUUUUUCCUUUUUGUAUUUUGUAUUGUGUAUUUUUCUUUUUAUUGUUAAUUUUUUUUAUUAAUGUGAUCCUUUUCUUGUGAAAUUUUAAUAAAUAUCAUUU